rnacentral:rRNA from 1 species
UACGUGGGGUGCGAGCGUUAAUCGGAAUUACUGGGCGUAAAGCGUGCGCAGGCGGUUUUGUAAGCCAGAUGUGAAAUCCCCCGGCUUAACCUGGGAAUGGCAUUUGGGACUGCAAGGCUGGAGUGUGGCAGAGGAGACUGGAAUUCCUGGUGUAGCAGUGAAAUGCGUAGAUAUCAGGAGGAAUACCGAUGGCGAAGGCAGGUCUCUGGGCUGACACUGACGCUCAUGCACGAAAGCGUGGGGAGCAAACAGG